AUGAACGCUAGCGGCAGGCUUAACACAUGCAAGUCGAACGGCAGCACAGGUAGCAAUACUGGGUGGCGAGUGGCGCACGGGUGCGUAACGCGUAUGCAACCUACCUCUAUCUGGGAGAUAGCCCGAAGAAAUUCGGAUUAAUACCCCAUAAUAUAUGUCUUUCGCAUGUUAGACAUAUUAAAGCUUUGGCGGAUAGAGAUGGGCAUGCGUGACAUUAGCUAGUUGGUAAGGUAACGGCUUACCAAGGCUACGAUGUCUAGGGGGUCUGAGAGGAUUAUCCCCCACACUGGUACUGAGACACGGACCAGACUCCUACGGGAGGCAGCAGUGAGGAAUAUUGGACAAUGGGCGAAAGCCUGAUCCAGCCAUGCCGCGUGCAGGAAGAAGGCCUUCGGGUUGUAAAGCUCUUUCGGCCGGGAAGAAAUCGCACAGGUUAAUACCCUGUGUGGAUGACGGUACCGGAAUAAGAAGCACCGGCUAACUACGUG
rnacentral:rRNA from 1 species